AGUCAAGUAAUUAAGUGCAUGUGGUGGAUGCCUUGGCAGUCAGAGGCGAUGAAAGACGUGAUAGCCUGCGAAAAGCUCCGGGGAGGCGGCAAAUAUCCUUUGAUCCGGAGAUGUCUGAAUGGGGGAACCCACCUACUUUAAGGUAGGUAUUGCAACAUGAAUACAUAGUGUUGCAAGGCGAACGAGGGGAAGUGAAACAUCUCAGUACCCUUAGGAAAAGAAAUCAAUUGAGAUUCCCUCAGUAGCGGCGAGCGAACGGGGAUCAGCCCAUUAAGUUAUGUGUGUUUUAGUGGAACGCUCUGGGAAGUGCGAACGUAGAGGGUGAUAUUCCCGUACACGAAAGGGCACACAUAAUGAUGACGAGUAGGGCGAGGCACGUGAAACCUUGUCUGAAUAUGGGGGGACCAUCCUCCAAGGCUAAAUACUCCUGACUGACCGAUAGUGAACCAGUACCGUGAGGGAAAGGCGAAAAGAACCCCUGUGAGGGGAGUGA
rnacentral:rRNA from 1 species